GAUGAACGCUGGCGGCGUGCUUAACACAUGCAAGUCGAGCGAGAAGGCUAUGACUGAAUCUUCGGAUGAGGGAUUAGCUGGAAAGCGGCGGACGGGUGAGUAACGCGUGGGUAACCUGCCUUGUACAGAGGGAUAGCCACUGGAAACGGUGAUUAAUACCUCAUAAAGCUGCAUUGUCACAUGAUGAAGCAGUCAAAACUCCGGUGGUACAAGAUGGACCCGCGUCUGAUUAGCUAGUUGGUGGGGUAAAGGCUCACCAAGGCGACGAUCAGUAGCCGACCUGAGAGGGUGAACGGCCACACUGGAACUGAGACACGGUCCAGACUCCUACGGGAGGCAGCAGUGGGGAAUAUUGCACAAUGGGCGAAAGCCUGAUGCAGCAACGCCGCGUGAGCGAAGAAGGCCUUCGGGUCGUAAAGCUCUGUCCUUAGGGAAGAAGAUUGACGGUACCUAAGGAGGAAGCCCCGGCUAACUACGUGCCAGCCGCCGCCGUAACAC
rnacentral:rRNA from 1 species